rnacentral:misc_RNA from 1 species
AACAAUUAACUAAGUGUGGGAUCGGUUUAUUCCAUAGUCGAGCAAUCGGUGAGUUCAGAAAAGUCAUUUAUGAUCGAAGGACAUCAAUUGAGAGCGGAUAAUAAAGUGAAAAGGUCUAAUAGUUCCUCGACUUCUGAGGUUGGCCAAAAUAUGGUGUCGACAAUAGUGAUGUUGAAAAAGUUCCAGUAAGACGCUGUUGGAUAUUACCAUUUCAUCA